GACGAGCCUCACAAACGUUAUUCGGAAUUACUGGGCUUAAAGGGUGCGUAGGCGGUGCGGAAAGUUGGGUGUGAAAUCCCUCGGCUCAACCGAGGAAUUGCGCUCAAAACUACCGUGCUCGAGGGAGAUAGAGGAAUGCGGAACUUAGGGUGGAGCGGUGAAAUGCGUUGAUAUCCUAGGGAACACCGGUGGCGAAAGCGGCAUUCUGGAUCUCAUCUGACGCUGAUGCACGAAAGCUAGGGUAGCAAACGGG
rnacentral:rRNA from 1 species